GAUGAACGCUGGCGGCGUGCCUAAUACAUGCGAGUCGAGCGAACGGACGAGAAGCUUGCUUUUCUGAUGUUAGCGGCGGACGGGUGAGUAACACGUGGAUAACCUACCUAUAAGACUGGGAUAACUUCGGGAAACCGGAGCUAAUACCGGAUAAUAUUUUGAACCGCAUGGUUCAAAAGUGAAAGACGGUCUUGCUGUCACUUAUAGAUGGAUCCGCGCUGCAUUAGCUAGUUGGUAAGGUAACGGCUUACCAAGGCAACGAUGCAUAGCCGACCUGAGAGGGUGAUCGGCCACACUGGAACUGAGACACGGUCCAGACUCCUACGGGAGGCAGCAGUAGGGAAUCUUCCGCAAUGGGCGAAAGCCUGACGGAGCAACGCCGCGUGAGUGAUGAAGGUCUUCGGAUCGUAAAACUCUGUUAUUAGGGAAGAACAUAUGUGUAAGUAACUGUGCACAUCUUGACGUUACCUAAUCAGAAAGCCACGGCUAACUACGUG
rnacentral:rRNA from 1 species